CGUCAAACAGGCUGUAGUUCUUUUUGGAGAGUUAAAAAAUCCCACAAUCCUCAGCCAGUCAAGGAAAGCUACAUGAAACUUCUUUAGUAGACACUUCUAGGUUAAGUCCACCCAUGCGUUUCCAAUCACUCUCCUCUACAAUAAAUUGAGCUAUAAGCCAAAACAGUAGAAAUGAAGUAAAAAUUACUUUUUUUCACAGGUGCCUUUCCUCUACCUACUUGUAAAAAUUUGCUCUCUACGAAGCUUUAAACAGGUCAAGCGCGGACGUUGAAGAAACUCACCAAACGUUCUUCAUCUUUUACAAUGAAAUUUACUGUGUGUACGUGGGGGUUAUUUAAAAAAGUUACAACUUGUACAGGACUAUUUCAUCAGCCCAGUACUUACAAUCAUCAAGAGGAGCCAUAGCUCCACUUCUUAACAAAGAUAAUUUAGCAACAAAAAUAGAAAGAGCAGCUAUCUAACUAGCUAGCUUUGCAUAGAUCCACUCUUUUUUCUUUAGAUUUACGUAUCCCGUGCCACUUGUCCUCAUAACCCCUCCAUAACAACCUACAGAUAAACAGUAAGUUAGGAUAGAUUCUAGCCAAUAGACUACUGUUUCUCAGGCCUCCGACACUCACCACGACCUAGGGGAACCAUCCAUAUAAAUAUUAUAGGACAAUUUCACGGAGUUUCCUAGGCAUCACCCAUCCCACCAUGCCUGCUAAUACUAAGCACAAUGGCAGUGAUACCAGUACUACAAGGAGGAAAGCUUCUUGUAAGGCUAAUAGUAAGUUGGAAAGCCUUAAUUAGAUGAAUACUAAGUGAAAGACCACCUAUAAUAGAUCAGUCUCCUUCAAGCUUUAGAGACACUUUCUGUAGAGGCUCCAUGCAUACAAGUGAGUGAUCUAUUACAUAAGACUGUCAGUACAAGCUUAUAUCAUAGAUUGAAAAGGAAGGUGAUUGGAAACGAAAAUGUUUGCGUGAAACACUCCGUGUUAUAGGGUGUGGCUAAAAUUAUAGUCAACAUGCGAUUUACCUGUCUUGCUGCCCAUACAAUGUGUUGUACAUAGAAAUGGUGAAAUUGUUAAUGUUGAUUAUUCUAAAAAGUAAAGAGAAUCUAGCUAAAAGGUAGACUAAGCUAUACUGUUCUACACUCUAGUAAACAGUUAAUAGUUUCGCAUCGAUCAUAAAUCAUUUGUUAGUAUCAGCAUGUGGCUAUCUAAUAAUUACACCAAUCAAAUAAGUACUAGGACCUGGCUAAAUAUAGAAAUAGAUAAAUAUAGCUAGUACCAUAAACUAAUAAUGAUUACAUAAAUAAACAUUACGUAACUAGAACAUUACAUCCCUCCUUUACUUCGGAGAAAAGAAACAGUUAUUAGAGUUCAAUCAAGUUCCAUGUAUAUUCUGGCCAUAACGCUGACAGCUUCACCUCUGCCUCGUUGGAUAUCGUCGUUGGACCUGUACUUGCUGAGCUGGUUGAGUUUCGUCUGGACCAUUAUCAAGUUCAUCAUCUGAACUUUCAUAAUCAGCUUCUGGUGUUCUCACAGAGGGUUGUAUUCGUUUGAAAUGGCUAACGUUUCUCGUGAUAUCUCUUUCAUUUCGAGUUGCCGUUACCAUCAAACCUUUGACCUCAUCACCUUGUAAGGGGCAGGAUCAAAUUUAGUUGUGAAUUUGUCCUUCUUCUGGCGUACCAAUACAGUGUCACCAAUUUGGAUGUUAGGCUGACAACUACGAGAUCUCUUGUCGGCUUCAUCUUCUUUUUGGCUUAUGUGUCUUUGUCUCGUACCAAAGAAUCCACUGGAGUGUCAUUUGACACGGUUGCCUCAGGUAGCUUGGUGCCGAUCUUUCGGUUGAACAAAAGUUGUGCAGGUGAUACUCCUGUUGUACUGUGCGGUGUUGCACGAUAAUUAAAGAGAAACUGGUAGAGAAACUUCUUCCAAUCUCUUCCUUCAGCGUGGGCUGAUCUAACCGCUUUCCUCUGCAUUUCCUUGUGGCCAUAGAGGAGUGCUCUUUCGAUGUUUAAUGCCUUUUUCUUGAGUGUACUGUUUGAACUCUUCUGAGAAGAAUGGGGGACCAUUGUCACUCUUCAAAACUUUGGGUAUUCCAUGAGUGGAGAAGAUUCGAUCGAGCUUGCUGAUGGUUCCUUUUCCGGCCGUGGAGUGAACAAUCUCAACUUCCGGAAAUCUAGAGUAUGCAUCAAUGACUACCAUCAGAUACUCACCAGUUGGGAAUGGUCCGCAGAAAUCGAUGUUCACAGUGUGCCAUGGUUUGGGUGGCAGUGCUUUCAUCUGGAGAGGUGCAGGUGGUGAGUAGGGACUGUUUGCUUGACAUGCAAUGCAGCUCUGAAUGGUUUUCUGAACUUUCUCCUCGAUUCCUGUAAACCAGACUUUCUCACGUAGCAGUCUCUUAGUCUUCACUAUUCCUUGGUGACCUUCAUGGGCAAGGUCGAUUGAUCUCUGUUGGAGUGAGCUUGGUAUCACUAUUCGGUUGCCACAGAGGAUCAGAUUAGAUUCUGCGUUGACUUUGCCAAACAGUUUAGUAGCAUCUGAUUUCUCAUACCACUUUCCAGAUUGAAUGACGUCCAUCAAUUCACACAGCGUAGGGUCCGCUUCUUGAAUCUCUGUCAAGGACAUUGCUUUGGGAAUUGCAUGUAGGCAUAGGAGGUUGACAUAGUCUUCUGCCAUUUUCUCUGCUCUCCUUUAAUGUGGUGUGUCGGGAGAGAAAAUCAGAUGGGUUGUUACUUCCUUUUGUGUGUAUCACAUUGAAUUCGUAGCCUUGUAGCCUCAAGUUCCACCGCUCGAUUCUGGCAGGUGGUUUGGACUUCGGGUUGCCAAAAAUCAACUGAACUGGCUUGCAAUCGGUGUGUAGGUUAAAUCUUUUCCCAUAGAGAUAGAGGUGUAGUCGUUCUACUGCCCACACGAUUGCAAGAGCUUCCUUCUCUGUUUGUGAGUAUCGAGUUUCAACAUCUGAAAGCGAUCUACUCACAUACGCGACAAUUUUCCGGUCUUGCUUUCCUGGUGUUGUCUGAGACAGGAUUGCUGAUAGACCAACUGGAGAGGCUACCUCUGUCUCUUUGGAUGGGUCAAAGUAUGCCUCACUGGUCAACAUUUCUUUGAUUUUCUCGAAAGAAGACUGAUGUUCCAGAGACCACUGGAAUGGAACAUCCUUCUUGGUCAGGUUGCGGAGAGGAUGUGAUACAUCACUAAACGAAGGGAUGAAUUUAGCACAGUAAGUUGCCAUUCCCAGAAAACUUCUGACUUCGGAUGCUGAUUUUGGAGGGGUCAUGUUGUGUAUGGCCUUCACUUUGUCUGGAUCAGCUGAGAUGCCUUCUUUGGAGAAUACAAAUCCGAAAAAUGUCAGGGAUGACUUGUUGAACUCACACUUGGACUUGUUAAGGGUGAGGUUUACAUCUUUAAACUUCUUCUUCAGUGCUUUGUUAUGUUCUUCUCAUACACGAUGACAUCAUCACUUAUAUUCAAAGUACCCGGUAUGUCACGAAGUUGGUCACUGAUGAUGUUUUGGAAAGUCUCACUGGCUGAGUUUGUGCCAAAAUUGAGUCGAGUGUAUCGGCGGAGACCUUUGUGUGUCACGAAAGUAGUGACUGUCUCCGUCCAAUGGAAUUUGGUGGUACCCAGCUUUCAAGUCAAGCUACCGUUGCUCCAUUCAGAUUGUGAACAAGAUCGUCUACCAUGGGGCUGGGGUGUCUCUCUUAGAAUGGCUUUGUUUGGCAUCCUCAUAUCGACACAUAGGCGAACACUUCCAUUUUUCUUUGGAGCAAUGACUAGAGGAGAGACCCAUGUUGUGGGACCGUCGACUUUUUCGAUAAUCCCUUGACUUUCCAGAUUGUCGAGUUCUUCUGAAACCUGUUUUCGGAGGUGGAAUGGAAUGCGCCGGACUGACUGUACGACCGGAGCGACUGAGUCAUCGAUGUGUAAUCGGACAUGUGUGUUCUUGAGUUUGCCUAUCCCUUUGAACACUUUGGGAAAUGAGGCAAUUAGUUCUUCGUCGGUUUGCUGUUCGUUCAUUUGGUUGACUUUGAUACUGAUUAGGUCGAGGUCUUCAGCUGUGCUGCAGUCAUAGACUGGACGUGUUUUGAACCGACGUUAAUGUUUGCCAUAAACUGGCAGUGAGUUGUGAGUCAGAUCCAUACGCAAACAUGCACUUUGUGGGUGAGUUCAGCUAUAUUGUACAAUGUUUUUGUAUUUCCUCGAAACUGUCUUCAUCAAUGAUGUUGGCUGAUGCACCUGUAUCUAUCAUCACUGUAACAGGGAUGUCAUUAAUGCCCACAGUGACCAUUGGUGCUUUGGAAUAGGUAGAGUUUCCGAGUACGUAUAGGUACUCGUCGUCGCUACUGCUUGUAUUAUCUGACUCUGUGUCUGGUCUGGGUGCAGUUUCAACUUGUCGUAUACGUCUAGUUCCUUGUUUACUGCGUGGCAUUGUUGUUUUGGACAAACAUACUCGAGCAAAAUGGUCGCAUUUCUUGCAAGUUUUUCCGAUUGCAGGGCACGGACCUUCCUUGUGGGGCCUUGUGGGGCCAUGUGAGUCCACACUUUCGACAUUGGUUCGAAGGGGUGUGAGUUUGCUUCAUCGGGAAUUUACGUGGAGGUCUCUUCACGUGGAGUUGGUUCACAGACGCAGAGAGUUGUUCCAUCCCACUAGCCUGGGUCUCGCUCAUUUCACGAAGUGCUAUUCUACGGAGUCUUUUCGAUAAACAGUUCUGAAUAAUGGUCGAUUUUAUUUCACGGUUUAAAUCAUUAAACUCACAUUCUGGGCCAACUUCCGGAGUCUUGUUGUGUAUUGAUCAAUAGUUUCUCCAUUGUUUUGAGCAGCAGUGCGAAACUUGAAGAUCUUGUAAUCAACAUUCUUCUUGGGGGCAAAGUAUUCAUCCAGCUUGUCUAUAGCUGUGUCAUAGUCAUCUCCUGUGUCUGUCAGGGUAUCAAAAAUUGACUGUGUAUCUUCCCCAACUUGAUAUAUGAGAAGAGCUCUCUUUCUUCCUCCAUCUGUGAUGUUGAGAGCUGCCAAGUAUGUUGCUUUCCAUCGCUGUCCUAGCGAGGUAGGGUCUGAGAUUGGGUCAAAUGGAGUAAGAGGUUGUAGGCUGAGCCCUGCUUCAGCCAUCCUUGUAUCCUCGUCGCCAGUUAUACUGUUCUACACUCUAGUAAACAGUUAAUAGUUUCGCAUCGAUCAUAAAUCAUUUGUUAGUAUCAGCAUGUGGCUAUCUAAUAAUUACACCAAUCAAAUAGUACUAGGACCUGGCUAAAUAUAGAAAUAGAUAAAUAUAGCUAGUACCAUAAACUAAUAAUGAUUACAUAAAUAAACAUUACGUAACUAGAACAUUACAUAAGCAACUAUCACUAAACAGCUAUACAAUAACCCUUUCCUUGCCAUUCGUGAAAUCUGGAACAGGAGCGUCUUUAGGUCGAUCAAUUAGUGUGGAUCCGGCCUCACCACGCCUCCAUGUCAUUCUAUUAGUCUAGAUCCGGCUAGCAAUUCUAGCUGGGACUCCCAGUUCUAGCUCCUUUUGUUUAGCGUGUCAGAGACUGGGAGAAGAUGAUUGGCACUCCCUGGCUCCUUUGGAUGUACAGCUGUCCAGAUCCCUAGAACAUACCCUCCAUUCUGACGAGUUAUCAGUGCAUAGGGUGCUUACUAGAUUCUUGCCAGCCAGUACAGUUCAAGCUACACACAGCACCGCUCAACUAUUCUCUACCCCAUUAUCUAGCUAAAUCUGGUCCAACUAGACAGCAGACACAGCUAGUUAAUUCAGUAAAGCCAGGGGUAGCCCUACUUCUACGGUUGUUCAGUACCCACGGUAACAAUUCCUCUGGGCUGGGCUAACUAGUUGAGCCACGCCUCCCAAUUCUCAAGGCUAGGUACAUGUCUCUGUCUAGCUGCUUCUUCAGCUUCUUGCUCAGUUUUGUGGCUUAGAGAAAGGCCAGCUACUCAGGGGGAAGAGUCCAGAUGAAAGUCUGGCAGCCAGGUGACGUCCAAACGGUCAGUUAUUCUUUCCACCAACUUUUUAAUCUAGUCUAGUCCUGCUUGCACUGCUACUACUACUGCUGCUACUCUUCCUAGCUAGUCAAAGGUUUCUUUUUUUUUUUUUUUUUUUUUAUAA